UAUAAUAUAUUAAAAGAAUAAAAUAAUUGCGAGAGCCUUCGGGCUCUCAUUAAGCCCUAGUGGACUUGCCCUCCUAGUCACUAGGGUGUUUUU
rfam:Geobacter sp. OR-1 DNA, contig: OR1_contig000005.